GCAGGCUUUGGGCUAGGUGAAAAUCCACUUUGCCAACUUCAAUGUUUUACUAAGUGUUGGCUCUGCUAAAAAAGCCUCAUGCAACUGAACAUUCUAUUAUAGAAAAUGACGAAUCUGUGUUUGAUGCCAGAGUUGUCACAUUCUUCCAAGAGUGCAGACUUUUAUGGGCCCCUGGAGCUUCUGCCGGGGACUAUUUCUGAGGACGGGAACAUUGUGCCUUGUUGGCAAGGCUUGUUAAACCAAGGCCACUGGUGGUCGUUGAAGAAUCUGGAUCUGCCUUUGCAACGGUGGCAGCGAGAUUGUGGUGAGGCUCUGGAUACGCUUUAUCCCACCUCAGUUUCUCUGGUGAGGCCCUUUGCCAUGUAAACUGGUUGUGGUCAAAUGGAAAUAUUUGAAGGGUUGCCACGUGGAAGAGGGAUUUAGGCCUAUUCUGCAUGGUCCCAGAGGAUAGAACUCGGAUGAAGAAGAUGGUAACUGCUGCGGAGAGAUGGAUUUGGAUGCUACAUAAAGAUCAACUAUAAGGCUUUUCACGUCAAAAUUCUCGGCUCAGCUGGAGACUGGACUGCAGAAGCUUUAUGAAGCCUCAGACUGCGGGGACCCACUCAGGGGAUGAUGUUAACGAUUGGCAAGACAAGCUGGCUUCCCCACAGAGUUCUCCAUGCUGAUCCAGGAUUCAGAGGAGCUGCAAGAGGAGAUCUGGUGGGAACUGGAGGAGCUGAGGGCUCAGCUGCUGCCCGACUCCAACAGGUGAGCCAGCAGAUCAGGGAUAACCUGCGUAAGACAUUGCAGCCCACGGCGCCUCACACCGACCUUCUAAAUAUUAAAACAUAGUAGCUUCACUUCUAUGUUCCAAAUACUGUGCAAAAUGUCUCCUGUGGCCAACAUUACUAUGGAACCACAUUACUAUGGAAGAGGAGUCUGGGAAAUGCAGUUCCAGCUUACCUAACUUGACCCAGAACCAAUCCACCACAGUUCCACAAAGGAAGUGAUGGAAUUGGGUCUGAAAGAGUAAGUGUUUGCCAUGACGAAAAAGGGGGAGGAUAUUCCAGACCCAGGGCAUAAUGAGCGGAGUAUGGAAAAGUCUGAUGUAUUCAGGAUGUUCAUAGCAGCUGCAGCAUUAGGUGUCUUUGUUACAAGGCCACAGAAUCAGCCCAACAUAACCAUGAGCCACUGUAGUUUGAGGAAGUGCAGAUCCAUCUAUCCAUUGGGUCAUAAUUUUUCUUUAAACAAAGAUUGACUUCUUUUCCUUCCAGGCUUAUGCCUUUCCCAUUAUCAAGGGAAUUAGACAACAGCGGUGAAAGCUGCGUUGAGCCUGGAGCCAGAGCUCUGAGUGUUAAUCCCAGCCUUGCCUCACCCUCGAUAGGAGACUUUGGACAACCUUUCCACCCUCUGAACCUCAGUAACCUCAUCCCUAAAAGGAGGGCUUUGAACUGAAGUGAUAGCCAACUCUCUACAGUCGUUUCAAACUUUAACAUUCUUUCUGGCAAUUACCGGGAGACCAAAUGGGCAGAGCAAUUUUCACUCUGGUGAAAGCUGGAACAGAAAAUGCAGGGCGCUUUGCCACAACUCUCAACUUUAUCUCUAAAUUCUGGAAGCGGGCACAGCACAAUGCAGCCUCCCAUGGCUGUUCCUGGGGUCUGGGCCUGGCCUGGGUUAGGUGUCCAAGACCAGGUCAAGGCAAUCGUAUUUGUCUUGGUAGCAUGGGCCUUGCACUAUGCCGAAAGGAUCUGAGGCCGUCAAUAAAUGUUGGAUGAAUGAACGUGUGGGAUCUGGUCCCAGUUACUUCGUAGAUUUGGGGACUGGUGUACGGGCCACUUUGAGGAGAAAUUAUAGACUCCCUCUUUGGGGAGACUCUGAACCAGAAACAGGUUCUUCAAGUCCAAUGUAGUCUUGCCCUAUUCCCCGGGAGGAUUACAGGAUUGAAUAAUAAGGGAGGGCGUCAGAACAAAAGCCUGGUGCAUGUUUGAAGUAACAUGAAUUCUAUACAAAGAAACAGCCACCUGGUCUUUAAUAUGGAUAUAUUAAUAAACAUUUCUCAUUGGACCAUGUUGAGACAUAAGUAUCCCCUCUCUUCAGAAUUAUUGCGGAAAGUCAAGUUAAUUCCUCACAUUCUUGGCGUGUUUUCAAAGAUGGUCAGAUGUUGCAGCCCAGCAAAGCCAUGAUGCUGUUCUUCAUGGAACCCAAUGAAACGUUGAUAUAUUUGACUCCUCUCUCUUAUGGAAAAGCAAUUUUGCUAACAAACAAUAUGGCUAGGUUUUAUGUAUGCAACUUGGGACUGUGGAAUAUGUGGACUUUAGAGUGAGGAAAGCUGGCUUCCUAUCUGGGCUUUACUGCCUAACAGUUGUGUGUGUGUACUAGGCACUUUAUUUCAUCUCUGAGCCUCAGUGACUUCUUCUGUAAGAGGGGCAUGAUAACAAUGAUUGUUUAAACAUCUUAAAC